rnacentral:rRNA from 1 species
GAUGAACGCUAGCGGCAGGCUUAACACAUGCAAGUCGAGCGGAGUGAUGGUGCUUGCACUAUCACUUAGCGGCGGACGGGUGAGUAAUGCUUAGGAAUCUGCCAUUUAGUGGGGGACAACAUUCCGAAAGGAAUGCUAAUACCGCAUACGUCCUACGGGAGAAAGCAGGGGAUCUUCGGACCUUGCGCUAAAUGAUGAGCCUAAGUCGGAUUAGCUAGUUGGUGGGGUAAAGGCCUACCAAGGCGACGAUCUAUAGCGGGUCUGAGAGGAUGAUCCGCCACACUGGGACUGAGACACGGCCCAGACUCCUACGGGAGGCAGCAGUGGGGAAUAUUGGACAAUGGGCGGAAGCCUGAUCCAGCCAUGCCGCGUGAGUGAAGAAGGCCUUUUGGUUGUAAAGCACUUUAAGCGAGGAGGAGGCUCUCCUAGUUAAUACCUAGGAAGAGUGGACGUUACUCGCAGAAUAAGCACCGGCUAACUCUGUGCCAGCCGCCGCAGUAAGAC